rnacentral:rRNA from 1 species
GAUGAACGCUGGCGGCGUGCCUAAUACAUGCAAGUCGAGCGAACGGACGAGAAGCUUGCUUCUCUGACGUUAGCGGCGGACGGGUGAGUAACACGUGGAUAACCUACCUAUAAGACUGGGAUAACUUCGGGAAACCGGAGCUAAUACCGGAUGAUAUUUUGAACCGCAUGGUUCAAUAGUGAAAGACGGUUUUGCUGUCACUUAUAGAUGGAUCCGCGCUGCAUUAGCUAGUUGGUAAGGUAACGGCUUACCAAGGCAACGAUGCAUAGCCGACCUGAGAGGGUGAUCGGCCACACUGGAACUGAGACACGGUCCAGACUCCUACGGGAGGCAGCAGUAGGGAAUCUUCCGCAAUGGGCGAAAGCCUGACGGAGCAACGCCGCGUGAGUGAUGAAGGUCUUCGGAUCGUAAAACUCUGUUAUUAGGGAAGAACAUAUGUGUAAGUAACUAUGCACGUCUUGACGGUACCUAAUCAGAAAGCCACGGCUAACUACGUG